rnacentral:rRNA from 1 species
GACCUCGAUGUUGGAUCAGGGUAUCCCAGUGGUGCAGCCGCUACUAAAGGUUCGUUUGUUCAACGAUUAAAACCCUACGUGAUCUGAGUUCAGACCGGAGUAAUCCAGGUCAGUUUCUAUCUAUAACGGAGCUUUUUCUAGUACGAAAGGACCGAAAAAGCAUGGCCAAUACUUAAUGCACGCCAUAAUUAAUAAUUUCUGAUUUAACCUUAAUAAAUAAUUAAUCCCUNCAACCGNNGCUCUAAAAAAGAGCA